AUUGAACGCUGGCGGCAUGCUUUACACAUGCAAGUCGAACGGUAACAGGCCGCAAGGUGCUGACGAGUGGCGAACGGGUGAGUAAUGCAUCGGAACGUGCCCAGUCGUGGGGGAUAACGCAGCGAAAGCUGCGCUAAUACCGCAUACGAUCUAUGGAUGAAAGCGGGGGACCGUAGGGCCUUGCGCGAUUGGAGCGGCCGAUGUCAGAUUAGGUAGUUGGUGGGGUAAAGGCUCACCAAGCCAACGAUCUGUAGCUGGUCUGAGAGGACGACCAGCCACACUGGGACUGAGACACGGCCCAGACUCCUACGGGAGGCAGCAGUGGGGAAUUUUGGACAAUGGGCGCAAGCCUGAUCCAGCAAUGCCGCGUGCAGGAAGAAGGCCUUCGGGUUGUAAACUGCUUUUGUACGGAACGAGACGGUCCUGGUUAAUACCCGGGGCUAAUGACGGUACCGUAAGAAUAAGCACCGGCUAACUACGUGCCAGCCGCCGCCGUAAUAC
rnacentral:rRNA from 1 species